AGAGAGAGGUGUGUGUGUGUGUUUGUGUGUGUGCAUGUGUGGUAGAAAAGAGAAUGGAGGAAUAAAAGAGAAGAAUAAAAGAGAAAAUCUAGAGGGGAAAAACGGAGAUACAUGCUGAAGUGUCAACAGUCUCUGCGGAAUGAAAGAUAAAAGAGCAAGAGAGAAUGAAAGAGAGAGGGAGUGACACAGAAACGGAGUAGAAAAGAGGAAAAGAAGAGAUGGACAUGGUGAUCACACACACUUUAUGAAGCCGCUGCUCCUACAGAACAGGGCAGGACAUCAACAACUGCUCGACGUGUCAGAAAACAGCCUGCAUCAUUUACAGUGUUGAGCAUGAUUUUCGGCUGCAG